UACAUAUUGUUUUUUUCAUCAUAGCAUGUCUUUUAUAUUUAUGCUUUGUGUAAGUAAAAUGUUCAUAAAUCAUUCUUAUCUUUAAACUAAAAAUGUAUUUUGAUAUGCAAAAUGUCUGUAUGAUUUCAGUUGCCAGAGGUGAGUACCAUAACAGUUGAAAAGUUAGUUUUGUUUAGUUAAAGUUUUGGUUCACAGUUUUGUUUGUUAUUUGGCAAAAUUUACAUGUAUGCAUUGAGUCUUGAUUUCAGCUCGAUUGUGGACUGAAGAAGAUUGUCCGCAGAGGGAUUGGAUACAAAAUACAAAGUAAGUACUGAGUUUCUUACUAAAAGUUUUGAGUUGUAUUCAUUGUGUGUUAAUAUGCUAUGAUUGCUAUGAACAUGACUUUUGUAUUUCAGCGAAGACAACAUAGGUAAGUAAAAUUGUUAUCUGUUUCAUGUUUACUGUUACAGUUCAAUAUUGUGUUUAUAAAUUGUAAGUUGUACAAACACAUUCAAAAGUUUCUGAUCAUGCUUUCGAUUUCAUUUCAGCUUUACUGCUGGACGAGUGUUCUCUACUACUAGACGUGUCAGGUUUACUACCAGGCGAGCAGUGACAACAAGGCGCCUUUGUGGAAACAACACAACAAAAAACUGUACUGCUAGACGAGCAGUGACAGAAAGGCGCCUGAACAUGCAACACAAAACAAAAAAUGCCAAUAUACAAACCUUGAUGUGGACACCGAGUAGUCAAUACAUACGUGUGGCGUACAGCUGCGACAAAACCGUGGGUCCAUCGCACCGAUAACUCGAACAUUGGCCCGCGUAUGGACAUCAGUGCAACUUUGUGAAUCCAUGUAACUUUGUGAAUCCAUGUAACAUUGCGAAUGUGUGUCGAUCGAAAAAUGUGUACAUUCUGCACUGAAACGAACUCGGUGUUGCAAGUGGCAAGUGUUGACAGUGUGUAUGUUUAUGUUUAUGUUUUUACAUGAAAAAUAAAGGAGAUUGUUCUCCUACCUUUUUUUUCCUUGUUUUAUUGUGCUGGCCAGCAAUAUUGAUGUAUUGAUGUAUGUGUUUGUGUUUAAACUAUGCAAUACCAAAAUCAAACAAAAAAUAAACAUUAACAGUCAUUAACUGUGUUUGGGCGGCCGAGGGGUUUAAGACUCCACAAGUGUGAAGCGCACUGAUAGCACUUGGGGGUAAACACCUCGGUAUUUCGGUGCUAAAAUGUUUUCACGGUGCUUAUUUUGACGCACUGUUAGAACUACCAACCAGUAAAUGAUUGCUUGAUUUAUAAAACAAAUAUUCAGUCUCUACUUUGGCACAAGAGACUCUAAGUAUCAAAUAACAACAAUUUAAGCGCAGACAAUCACAUGGUGGUACACCAGUCCGAAUAUACUCAUUGCUCUAGCCAGGAUUGCAAAUUACUUGUGUUGACUAGCAAGGCUCCCUAGUAACGGAGCAGUGUUACUGGCGUUUUUUGGGUCGAUAGUGCUUAGGUGAGGUUUUGCUCGAAUCGGGAGCGGGUCACUCGCUUGGGCGAGUUAGUUUUCGCUCGUAGUUUCCAAUCUGGCUAGAUCACUGUAAGGUUGUUUUGACUGCUAUUUGGCAAGCAGAAAGACAACAGCGGUUAAUUGACUGAGUAUGGGCGACCGAGGUAUGUAGGUGUCAAUAGACCGACUCCACAAGUUGCGAAGCGAACCGAUAGCACUUGAGGGGAAACGCCUCGGUUUUCGGUUCUAACAUGUGUUAUCCAUGCUGUCGUUAUACUCUGGCAAGGCUCCUCAAUCUAUCGCGAGGGACACUCAUUAUUGCCCGCAAGCUUUAGAACCUGACGUGGGUCGAUGCGUAUGCGAGUCCGAGGACGCGAUGGCAUUUGAUAAGGCUACCAACCGGUUGAUAACACGCAUUGUUCAAAUUGUUAGGUUUAAGUCUGCUAGGGCUGGGGUGGGAA